rnacentral:rRNA from 1 species
GAUGAACGCUAGCGGCAGGCCUAACACAUGCAAGUCGAGGGGCAGCACGUCUUCGGAUGGUGGCGACCGGCGCACGGGUGCGUAACGCGUAUGCAACCUACCUCUUACAGUGGGAUAGCCCAGAGAAAUUUGGAUUAAUACCGCAUAGUAUACAGAUUCAGCAUUGGGACUGUAUUAAACAUUUAUGGGUAAGAGAUGGGCAUGCGUUCUAUUAGUUAGUUGGAGUGGUAACGGCACCCCAAGACAGCGAUAGAUAGGGCCCGUCGAGAGGGGAGUCCCCACCACUGGUACUGAGACACGGACCAGACUCCUACGGAGGCAGCAGUGAGGAAUAAUUGGACAAUAGGGCGGAGAGCCUGA